UACGUAGGGUGCAAGCGUUGUUCGGAAUCAUUGGGCGUAAAGCGCGUGUAGGUGGCUAGUUAAGUUGGAUGUGAAAUCCCUGGGCUCAACCGAGGAAGUGCAUUCAAAACUGGCUGGCUAGAAGAUGGUAGAGGAAGGUGGAAUUUCAAGUGUAGAGGUGAAAUUCGUAGAUAUUUGGAGGAAUACCGGCGGCGAAGGCGGCCUUCUGGGCCAUUCUUGACACUGAGACGCGAAAGCGUGGGGAGCAAACAGG
rnacentral:rRNA from 1 species